rnacentral:rRNA from 1 species
AGCGAACGCUGGCGGCAGGCUUAACACAUGCAAGUCGAGCGCCCGUAGCAAUACGGGAGCGGCAGACGGGUGAGUAACACGUGGGAACGUGCCUUUCGGUUCGGAACAACCCAGGGAAACUUGGGCUAAUACCGGAUACGCCCUUACGGGGAAAGAUUUAUCGCCGAAAGAUCGGCCCGCGUCUGAUUAGCUAGUUGGUGGGGUAAUGGCUCACCAAGGCGACGAUCAGUAGCUGGUCUGAGAGGAUGAUCAGCCACACUGGGACUGAGACACGGCCCAGACUCCUACGGGAGGCAGCAGUGGGGAAUCUUGGACAAUGGGCGCAAGCCUGAUCCAGCCAUGCCGCGUGAGUGAUGAAGGCCCUAGGGUUGUAAAGCUCUUUCGGCGGGGAAGAUAAUGACGGUACCCGCAGAAGAACGCCCCGGCUAACUUCGUGCCAGCAGCCG